GAUGAAGAACGUAGCGAAAUGCGAUACUUGGUGUGAAUUGCAGAAUCCCGUGAACCAUCGAGUCUUUGAACGCAAGUUGCGCCCGAAGCCAUUAGGCCGAGGGCACGCCUGCCUGGGCGUCACACGUCGUUGCCCCCCCAUCUACUCCUUCGGGAUUGCGGGGAGCGGAUGAUGGCCUCCCGUGCGCCUUGUCGCGCGGUUGGCAUAAAUGCCAAGUCCUCGGCGACGCACGCCACGACAAUCGGUGGUUGCGAAACCUCGGUUGCCCGUCGUGUGCGGUCGUCGCGCAUCGAGGGCUCGAAAAAAUUGCCGGGUUCCGGCUCGGCUUUCAACGCGACCCCAGGUCAGGCGGGGUUACCCGCUGAAUUUAAGCAUAUCAAUAAGCGGAGGA
rnacentral:misc_RNA from 1 species